GCACCCUGUGCGGGCAUAAGAACAUGACCGGCCUGCACUCUGUGUUCCCUCUCGAUCCGCACUUCACGAGAGGGAACACAGUAACGUUAGUAUGAAGAGGCAUAUAUUGUGUGUAUGUAUAAUUGCAACGUCACAAAAUAUUUUGUGUGUUUACGAAGAUACUUUCAUUCAAAAAAUAGAAUAAAGAGUGUAUAGUUUUAGAAAUAACAGAUUUUAUAUUAUCAUUAAUUAAAAUUGUAUUGUAUAUGUGUCGUAAUUCUUUAUUUUCG
rnacentral:lncRNA from 1 species